CCUACGGUUUGCAGCAGUCUCUCUCUCGCGUGCCUCCGAUCCACGGCUUAUACUAUAUAUAUAUAGGCCAAACGCGGCGGAGAUCGCGAGCGAGCGAGUCUGACCAGUACGCCGACUCGCAUCACUCGCUGCCGCACGAGUGGCCUACUGUGCCGAGUAGCAGUGUCUAUAUAGUGUAUAGAAUAUAAGUGCAGUGCGCGAUUUGGUGAACAACCGGCAGUUUUGCUCGCUCUUGGCGAUGACGUGAUAUUUCGCUCGUUCUGUGUGAUUCAGUUUCUUCGCCGAAAUCCUGUGCUCGCCGUGGCAGCGGCUACUGAUGUGAUACCGAUGGCCCUUGGCUGAUUCGAUGCUGCUACACGAGCAGCGCUUAUAAUAAUAAGGGCCUACCUGUACCGCAGCUUCCUUCACGACAUGAUCAUUUACAAGAUGAGAGUCGCGAUUGCUCGAGCUAGGCUCUUGGUGCCGAUUCAACGGCCUGCUUCGAUGCUACUGCUGCUGCUCGCUCUUACCUUGGCUAGUAGCGAAGCGCUUCGUAUGACAGCCCUUCGUAUUCCGCAGCACGUCGUGCUCAAUCAGACCGUACGCAUGGAGUGCGACUUUAGUCUGGACCGCGAGAGCCUCUACUCCGUCAAAUGGUACAAGGACGGCCACGAGUUUUACCGUUACGUGCCCUCGGAGGAGCCGAGAGUUCACAUCUUUCCGCUCGACGGUGUCGCUGUCGAUAGGCGCAGUUCGACGGAGAAAAUCGUAGUGUUGCACCGAGUGAACGACGACAGCACGGGUCGCUACAGAUGCGAGGUAUCGGCCGAAGCUCCGGCUUUCCAUACGGUCUCCGAUCACGCGGACAUGACGGUAGUUGUACUCUCGGAGCAUGGACCAACAAUCACGGGAGCCAAGUCUAAAUAUCAAGCAGGGGACAUCGUCAACAUUAACUGCACGUCCGCCCCGUCAAAACCGGCUGCUCUGCUGAUGUGGUACGUCAACGAAGAGCCGGUGGACAUGCAGUACCUAAAAGGCCCGUACAUAGUUGAUGUAGACAAACGCGGCUUGGAAACAGUCGUUCUAAUCCUGGAAUUUCAAGCAUGGUCUAAUCACUUCCGUCACGGGGACAUGAAGCUCAAGUGUCUAGCGACCAUAUCAUCGGUAUACAGGCGCAGCAAAGAGCAUCGAGUCGUCGGUGAUCACGGCAUACUCAAGCAACCGAUGGAGAGUCGCGAGACACGAGCUCAGAGCCACAUGCACAACAAUGAAAACCGAGUGCGCAUUUGCACGCUGCUCAUGAGCUGUCUGUCGCUGGUCGUUGUUUAUUUUCAUCAAAGCAUUUGCUAAUACAAAGAAGAAAAAUCACGGAGAAUACGUUGCCGACGAGGUGGACUAUGCAUCACGAUUAAAAAGGGCAAAGCAUGUAGAGUAUAACGAUGUCGACUUGAACAGAAUAUGGGAUUCAUUCUCGACAUCGUUGUCUCUGUACGUUCCAAAUGUUCGUUUCUCCGCCACCUUCGGUUGGACCUGAACUCUUCCAAGGGUACGAUUAAACGAUGAUUAUAAUAAUCCAACAAUAUUUGCUUUUUUCGAUAUAGAUGGAUAUUUGGGUUUGGAAAUUUCUGCGUUGUUUUUUUUUUAAUUUCAUACAAGUUUGAAUGUAUUCAACGAUCUGACUUCCAUUUUCAUCAAGUUGAUUGGAUUAAUUAAUUCAAAGUGACGUUAUCACAAUCUCAAUAUGAUGUACAUUGCCAUUUUUAAAUCAGUGUUUACACUUGUCAUGGUGACAAACGUGUUUGUUUUUAAAGAAUAAUUGGUUCCCGAGAGGAGAGCAUUGUAAAUAAGUGACG